ensembl:lncRNA
GUCCAUUAGAAGCGAAGAUUGGAACCACCACCCUCAGGAAGAUACCGUGGUCGUCAAGGCGUAGCUGCUUCGCCAGUUUGCGCUCCUUGGGUUUCUCUUUGUUGCUGAAAAAAGUGUGUGGCCGCGAACCGAGUCCUGAAGCGUCGCAACGCAGGCGUAACGUGAAGCCCAGCCCGUGGCUUCCUGGGAGUUGUAGUUUAGCUUCCUCAGGACUCGAACUGUAUUUCCGCCCUUCCUCUCUCCUCCUACCAGUUUUACAACAGCCUUUAUUUUUAAACGCUGUGUCUCCCAAGCGGAAGUUUUCAAGAAUUUUAUUGGAUUUUCUUCACGUACAAAGCCCUGUAUCUGUGGAGCUGCUGUGAGAGGAAGGGCUAAAUGGAGGGCCCUGAAAAUGCCCCACCACCAUUCUAGUGAGUGGUGUUUUUGUGGUAGGUGAUGACAUUGAAUGGACAGUUACAGCAACUAUCACCUGAGAAGAGCAAAGCAAACCUAGAGAAAGAAGGUCUGGGUCACUACAGCAGUGUAUCUAUGGAAAAUCCAGAAGGUUUGACCUUCCAGAGUCAACAGUGUGGAUUUUGCUGACUCCCUACUUAUGAAAGAAAUCUUGUCAUUUAUGGCAACAUGGACGAACUUGGGAGACAUUUAUGUUAAGUGAAAUAAAGCAGGCACGUGAAGCAAAUACUGCAUGAGCUCAUUUACACGUGGAAUCCAAAAGUGUUGAAUUCAUUGAAGCAAAGACUAGAAUGGCAGUUACUAGAGUCUGUGUUUAAGAUUUACUCAGAAAUAUGAAAAGGACCUGCUGUCACCAUGCCACAAAGAGGAGAACUUACCAUCAUUGCACUACAAACUGUCAACCCUUAGCUGGCUCUGCACCUUGGUUUCUCUCAGCAUAGGGUUACAGAGGCAACUACCAAGCAACCAACCCAAUUAAAGAUGAAGCCAACUUCCUGGAGAAGAGGUAAGUGUCCGCUCCUAUCCCAGUUACAUUCAACCAGAAGACAUCACCUAUCUAAAACCAUGGGUGAUUUCCUGGGGAGUACAGCACCGAGGUAAUCACCACCGAGGAAAGCGAAAGCAAAAGACGGAGUCAUGGGUUUCAGCCAUAGUCUCGGUUUCACUGGAGCUGUGUCAAGCAGCGAGAUUGUGACCGUGGCCUGUGCCAGCAAGAGAGCCGGAAAGCAGAGGAAAACACUGAACUGCAUUGCUCUAAUAAAACUGUUUUGGAUAAGAGGUCCUGAUGAAAUCCACAUGGCUUGCAUUCAAUUGAAAUGAUGUUGAUUGACAAGGGAAAGGACUUUAAUAACUGCCAAGAGGAGACCCUCCAGGACAUAACCAUGACCAGGCCUGAUUUGCAGGAUGUGCCCCUGGAGGACCCUGAGGAGACAUUCUUCAUGGAUGAGAGCAGCUUCGUCAAAAAAUGAGUCAGGUAAUCCAACAGGAACUACAAAAUCGAGUUCAGGAGGCCAGGCCAGCCCCUCAACCUGAUGUCACCCACCAUAAAUUUCAGCCUGGAGAUCUGGUGCUGAUAAAGAGACAUUCCUCUAAGGCUCUGGAGCCACAUUGGGAGGGACCUUUCCAGGUGAUUUUAAUGACGCCAUCCACUAUAAAGAUCACAGAAAAAACACCCUGGAUACAUCACUGCCACAUCAAAGCGGCUCCUGAGG